rnacentral:rRNA from 1 species
CCUACGGGAGGCAGCAGUGGGGAAUAUUGGACAAUGGGCGAAAGCCUGAUCCAGCAAUGCCGCGUGAGUGAUGAAGGCCUUCGGGUCGUAAAGCUCUUUUACCAGGGAUGAUAAUGACAGUACCUGGAGAAUAAGCUCCGGCUAACUCCGUGCCAGCAGCCGCGGUAAUACGGAGGGAGCUAGCGUUGUUCGGAAUUACUGGGCGUAAAGAGUACGUAGGCGGUUAUUCAAGUCAGAGGUGAAAGCCCGGGGCUCAACCCCGGAACUGCCUUUGAAACUAGAUAACUAGAGUCUUGGAGAGGUUAGUGGAAUUCCGAGUGUAGAGGUGAAAUUCGUAGAUAUUCGGAAGAACACCAGUGGCGAAGGCGACUAACUGGACAAGUACUGACGCUGAGGUACGAAAGCGUGGGGAGCAAACAGGAUUAGAUACCCUGGUAGUCCACGCCGUAAACGAUGAUAACUAGUUGUUCGGUCACUUGGUGACUGAGUGACGCAGCUAACGCAUUAAGUUAUCCGCCUGGGGAUACGGUGCAAGNUUAAAACUNAAAGAUUGACGNNGAGAGNGCGAGACGACGACGAGGAGAG